UACGUAGGGGGCAAGCGUUGUCCGGAAUCAUUGGGCGUAAAGAGCGUGUAGGCGGCCCGAUAAGUCCGCUGUGAAAGUCCAGGGCUCAACCCUGGGAUGCCGGUGGAUACUGUCGGGCUCGAGUCCGGAAGAGGAGUGUGGAAUUCCUGGUGUAGCGGUGAAAUGCGCAGAUAUCAGGAGGAACACCGGUGGCGAAGGCGGGUCUCUGGGCCGAUACUGACGCUGAGACGCGAAAGCGUGGGGAGCGAACAGG
rnacentral:rRNA from 1 species